rnacentral:rRNA from 1 species
UAGAGUUUGAUCCUGGCUCAGAACGAACGCUGGCGGCAGGCUUAACACAUGCAAGUCGAACGCCCCGCAAGGGGAGCGGCAGACGGGUGAGUAACGCGUGGGAAUCUACCCAUCUCUUCGGAAUAACUCAGGGAAACUUGUGCUAAUACCGUAUACGCCCUUAGGGGGAAAGAUUUAUCGGAGAUGGAUGAGCCCGCGUUGGAUUAGCUAGUUGGUGGGGUAAUGGCUUACCAAGGCGACGAUCCAUAGCUGGUCUGAGAGGAUGAUCAGCCACAUUGGGACUGAGACACGGCCCAAACUCCUACGGGAGGCAGCAGUGGGGAAUAUUGGACAAUGGGCGCAAGCCUGAUCCAGCCAUGCCGCGUGAGUGAUGAAGGCCCUAGGGUUGUAAAGCUCUUUCACCGGUGAAGAUAAUGACGGUAACCGGAGA